AGCGUCAAGUGCAAUGGUUUAGAGCACGCACUCCUGGAUGGAGUGAGUAGCGGGUUCGAGUCCCGUUUGACGUAA